rnacentral:lncRNA from 1 species
CAAACUAGGUCAAAUACAACAUCAAAAGUCCAAACAGAAUGACUUCAAUCAAAAGCAUACCAAAACAAUUCCAAAAAUCCUCAAAUAAUUCACACCUAAACAGGACACAACCAACAAGUAAAAGUCCAAACAGAAUGACUUCAAUCAAAAGCAUACCAAAACAAUUCCAAAAAUCCUCAAAUAAUUCACACCUAAACAGGACACAACCAACAAGUAGCAUGUCAAUUUUCAGCUCAAUUGGACAAAAGAAAGUAGGUCAAU